AACCGGAUUAGAUACCCUGGUAGUCCACGCCGUAAACGGUGGGUACUAGGUGUGGGUUUCCUUCCUUGGGAUCCGUGCCGUAGCUAACGCAUUAAGUACCCCGCCUGGGGAGUACGGCCGCAAGGCUAAAACUCAAAGAAAUUGACGGGGGCCCGCACAAGCGGCGGAGCAUGUGGAUUAAUUCGAUGCAACGCGAAGAACCUUACCUGGGUUUGACAUGCACAGGACGCGUCUAGAGAUAGGCGUUCCCUUGUGGCCUGUGUGCAGGUGGUGCAUGGCUGUCGUCAGCCCGUGUCGUGAGAUGUUGGGUUAAGUCCCGCAACGAGCGCAACCCUUAUUUCAUGUUGCCAGCACGUAAUGGCGGGGACUCGUGAGAGACUGCCGGGGUCAACUCGGAGGAAGGUGGGGAUGACGUCAAGUCAUCAUGCCCCUUAUGUCCAGGGCUUCACACAUGCUACAAUGGCCGGUACAAAGGGCUGCGAUGCCGCAAGGUUAAGCGAAUCCUUUUAAAGCCGGUCUCAGUUCGGAUCGGGGUCUGCAACUCGACCCCGUGAAGUCGGAGUCGCUAGUAAUCGCAGAUCAGCAACGCUGCGGUGAAUACGUUCCCGGGCCUUGUACACACCGCCCGUCACGUCAUGAAAGUCGGUAACACCCGAAGCCAGUGGCCUAACCCUUUGGGAGGGAGCUGUCGAAGGUGGGAUCGGCGAUUGGGACGAAGUCGUAACAAGGUAACCGUA
rnacentral:rRNA from 1 species